UACAGAGGUCUCAAGCGUUGUUCGGAUUCAUUGGGCGUAAAGGGUGCGUAGGUGGCGUGGUAAGUCGGAUGUGAAAUCCCGGGGCUCAACCCCGGAACUGCAUUCGAUACUGCCAUGCUAGAGUACUGGAGAGGAGAUUGGAAUUUACGGUGUAGCGGUGAAAUGCGUAGAUAUCGUAAGGAAGACCAGUGGCGAAGGCGGGUCUCUGGACAGUUCCUGACGCUGAGGCACGAAGGUCAGGGGAGCAAACGGG
rnacentral:rRNA from 1 species